ACGGGAGGCAGCAGUGAGGAAUAUUGGUCAAUGGACGAGAGUCUGAACCAGCCAAGUAGCGUGCAGGAUGACGGCCCUAUGGGUUGUAAACUGCUUUUGUACGGGAAUAAAGUGACCUACGUGUAGGUUUUUGCAUGUACCGUAAGAAUAAGGACCGGCUAAUUCCGUGCCAGCAGCCGCGGUAAUACGGAAGGUCCGGGCGUUAUCCGGAUUUAUUGGGUUUAAAGGGAGCGUAGGCGGCCUUUUAAGUCAGCGGUCAAAUGUCAGCGCCCAACGCUGGCCUGCCGUUGAUACUGAUGGGCUUGAAUACACACAAGGAAGGUGGAAUUCGUCGUGUAGCGGUGAAAUGCUUAGAUAUGACGAAGAACUCCGAUUGCGAAGGCAGCCUUCUGGAGUGCGAUUGACGCUGAGGCUCGAAAGCGCGGGUAUCAAACAGGAUUAGAUACCCUGGUA
rnacentral:rRNA from 1 species